AUGAACGCUAGCGACAGGCCUAACACAUGCAAGUCGAGGGGCAGCACAAGGAGCAAUCUGAGGUGGCGACCGGCGCACGGGUGAGUAACACGUAUGCAACCUGCCUGUAAGCGGGGAAUAACCCGUUGAAAGACGGACUAAUACCGCAUAAUACUAAAUUACUGCAUGGUAAUUUAUUUAAACAUUUUAUGGCUUACAGAUGGGCAUGCGCAUGAUUAGCUAGUUGGGGAGGUAACGGCUCCCCAAGGCAACGAUCAUUAGGGGUUCUGAGAGGAAGGUCCCCCACACUGGUACUGAGACACGGACCAGACUCCUACGGGAGGCAGCAGUGAGGAAUAUUGGUCAAUGGACGAGAGUCUGAACCAGCCAAGUCGCGUGCAGGAAGAAUGUCCUUAAUGGAUUGUAAACUGCUUUUGCAGGGGAAUAAAGUGCAUCACGUGUGAUGUUUUGUAUGUACUCUGCGAAUAAGGAUCGGCUAACUCCGUGCCAGCAGCAGC
rnacentral:rRNA from 1 species